CCGGUGCAGACGACGACGUUGAUAGGCCGGGUGUGUAAGCGCAGCGAUGCGUUGAGCUAACCGGUACUAAUGAACCGUGAGGCUUAACCUUACAACGCCGAAG
rnacentral:rRNA from 1 species